rnacentral:rRNA from 1 species
GCAUAUCAAUAAGCGGAGGAAAAGAAACUAACNAGGAUUCCCCUAGUAACGGCGAGUGAAGAGGGAAGAGCUCAAAUUUAAAAUCUGGCGGUCUCAGGCCGUCCGAGUUGUAAUCUAGAGAGGUGUUUUCCGUGCCGGACCGUGUACAAGUCCCUUGGAACAGGGCGUCGUAGAGGGUGAGAAUCCCGUCCAUGACACGGACUACCGGUGCACUGUGAUACACCUUCGAAGAGUCGAGUUGUUUGGGAAUGCAGCUCAAAAUGGGUGGUAAAUUCCAUCUAAAGCUAAAUACAGGCGAGAGACCGAUAGCGAACAAGUACCGUGAGGGAAAGAUGAAAAGAACUUUGGAAAGAGAGUUAAACAGUACGUGAAAUUGUUGAAAGGGAAACGCUUGAAGUCAGUCGCGUCCGCGGGGACUCAGCCUUGCUUUUGCUUGGUGUACUUCUCCGUGGAUGGGCCAGCAUCGAUUUUAGUCGCCGGAAAAGGACGGGAGGAAUGUGGCAGCUUGCUGUGUUAUAGCCUCUCGUCGUACACGGUGGCCGGGAUCGAGGACUGCAGCACGCCUUUUGGUCGGGGUUCGCCCACGCCACGUGCUUAGGAUGCUGGCGUAAUGGCUUUAAACGACCCGUCUUGAAACACGGACCAAGGAGUCUAACAUGCCUGCGAGUGUUUGGGUGUAAAACCCAGGCGCGUAAUGAAAGUGAAAAGUUGGGACUCUUUAGUGAGGCACCGACGCCCGAUCCUGAAGUUUUCUGACGGAUUUGAGGCAGAGCAUGUAUGUUGGGACCCGAAAGAUGGUGAACUAUGCCUGAAUAGGGCGAAGCCAGAGGAAACUCUGGUGGAGGCUCGUAGCGAUUCUGACGUGCAAAUCGAUCGUCAAAUUUGGGUAUAGGGGCGAAAGACUA